GGUUCACGACGCAAGAUGCACACGAUGUAACAUUCAACAAACGCCGGUAGACAAUGUUCCAAACUAUACAACAUACAUUUUGACAAGUUCCAGUUUCGCUUCGCAAGCAGCCGGAAAUUGAACACCGGCUGUGUUUCCUGUAUCCACGGCGGCGAGCCAGAUUCCGCGAUGGUAGUUUUACCGCGCUUUCAAGACAAACCCUGAGACGAUGAAACGGAUUUACACGGUGAGGCAGACACGGUUCACGUCACCCUCAAGUGGCGGCCAUGAUAUUUUCAGUAGUUCAUCCGGUUCCUUCUUUGAAUUAAAUGUUUCAAAUUCUGAGUGUGCAUUGUGAUGUUAACUAUGAUAAAAUUAUCAUGUAAAAAGAAAAUAAGAAGAUCGUCCGAAUUGAAAAAUCCACCUCAUGCUGUAUCUAUAUCGAAUAUAUACACGUUGGAACAUCUUUGGAGGAUUCUAAAAACCAAGG